rnacentral:tRNA from 1 species
GCGGCAGUAGCUCAGUUGGAUAGAGCAACGGCCUUCUAAGCCGUAGGUCGGGGGUUCGAGCCCCUCCUGCCGCG